rnacentral:rRNA from 1 species
GUUGGUGUCCAUAGAAAUGAGGUCACACCUGUUCCCAUUCCGAACACAGUAGUUAAGCUCAUAUUCGCCUACGAUACUUGGCGGGUGACUGCCCGGGAAAAUCGGUUGAUGCCAGCA